rfam:Pristionchus pacificus strain PS312 contig11005, whole genome shotgun sequence.
UCUUCAUUUCACAUGUUCUCUCAUCGGUCAGAGAGGCGAGAGAGUGUGUGCAAUGAAGAGA